GUGACCCUACUUAGCAACUUAUAUGUUUUUAAGAUAGUUUCAUACUAGUUGGAGGAUAAAAAGAGUUUACCUCCAAAAGCAAUCGCAGCUGAUGCACAUCAUCUCCUCCAGGAAAUAAUGGCUUCCGAUCCAUCAGUUCCAUAAAAAUGCAACCCACUGACCAUACAUCAACCGCUGCACUAUAAUUGAAGAGUUCAGCAACAGUUUCAGGUCACAAUUAGCAUUCAAGAGAAGGUUGCUAGGCUUCAAGUCCCUGUGAAGAACAUUUGCAGAGUGUAUAUACUUCAGCCCACGUAAAAUUUGAUAGAGGAAAUACGGAAGAAACACAAAAUAUCCAGCAUAAACUAAGGUCACUGUUCCUCAGAACCAGGCAGAGUAUACACAACUUCAUAAAAAGCAACCAAAUGUCUACAUUCGAACCUGACAAUGCUCUUCUGAUAAAGCUUGGCUAGAAUGGAUUACCUGAUGCAGGUCAAUGUCCAUCAGCUCAUAAGCAAUAUAAACAUCAUUAAAGCAUUCUAUCCUGGGUGGUGGGAUUAUAUCCCUGAUCGCAAUUACCUGUAAUGAAAGAUGCAAAUGAGACUAACUCAGAAUGAUAACAAAAGAGAUAUUGCUCUCUCUACAUGUGUCUCUCUCAAGGUUUUUGUGUAUCCAUCACUAGAGAAAAAAGAAUCAGGACAAAGAAAGGACAAGUUAUAAUCAAAUACUGAUCCUAACAGCGCUUUAGUAGUGGAGGAGAGGAAGAAGAUGAUACUAGGAGGGCUUAGAGAGGGAGAGUGUUGGUGUGUGUUUAUCCACACGUUUUCAUGGUCCAUUUGAAGAAGCAUCUUGAUCUCACGAAGAAUUCUCUUUGCAUAAAUUAGGUUAUCAAAUGCAUUCGCUAGCUUCUUCAAUGCCACUUCUUCAUUUGUCUCGGAAUUCAACACAGAACCAGAAGAAGAGUUUACCAUACAAUGCCAUAGCCCUCCAUACCAAUGGGUUCAAGAGGAGGUUUAUACUUAGCAGUGACCUCAAAUAUGUUACCGUAUAUAUCAAACCCAAGAAACCUAUUACCGUGUCUAAGAAUUACCGCAGAAUUCUCCAACCCAACAGCUAUUUGCUGUGGCGGUUGCUGGUGAUGUUGUCGGUUGAGUUUGAGGCUUUUAUUUUUGGGUAAAGAAUAUCCAAAGUCACUAAAACUAUUAACAAA